rnacentral:rRNA from 1 species
UGGAGUCUGCAACUCGACUCCAUGAAGUCGGAAUCGCUAGUAAUCGUGGAUCAGAAUGCCACGGUGAAUACGUUCCCGGGCCUUGUACACACCGCCCGUCACACCAUGGGAGUGGGCUGCAAAAGAAUAGGUAGUUUAACCUUCGGGGGGGACGCUUACCACUUUGUGGUUCAUGACUGGGGUGAAGUCGUAACAAGGUAGCGCUAGGGGAACCUGGCGCUGGAUCACCUCCUUAUACGAUGAU